rnacentral:rRNA from 1 species
UACGUAGGGAGCGAGCGUUGUCCGAAUUUACUGGGCGUAAAGCGCGCGUAGGCGGGCUAAUAAGUUGUGGGUGAAAUGCCGAGGCUCAACCUCGGCGCUGCCUGCAAGACUGUUGGUCUUGAGGUAUGGAGGGGAAAGCGGAAUUCCUGGUGUAGCGGUGAAAUGCGUAGAUAUCAGGAGGAACACCGAUGGCGAAGGCAGCUUUCUGGCCAUAUCCUGACGCUGAGGUGCGAAAGCCAGGGUAG